ACUCCUACGGGAGGCAGCAGUAGGGAAUCUUCCACAAUGGGCGCAAGCCUGAUGGAGCAACACCGCGUGAGUGAAGAAGGGUUUCGGCUCGUAAAGCUCUGUUGUUAAAGAAGAACACGUAUGAGAGUAACUGUUCAUACGUUGACGGUAUUUAACCAGAAAGUCACGGCUAACUACGUGCCAGCAGCCGCGGUAAUACGUAGGUGGCAAGCGUUAUCCGGAUUUAUUGGGCGUAAAGAGAGUGCAGGCGGUUUUCUAAGUCUGAUGUGAAAGCCUUCGGCUUAACCGGAGAAGUGCAUCGGAAACUGGAUAACUUGAGUGCAGAAGAGGGUAGCGGAACUCCAUGUGUAGCGGUGGAAUGCGUAGAUAUAUGGAAGAACACCAGUGGCGAAGGCGGCUACCUGGUCUGCAACUGACGCUGAGACUCGAAAGCAUGGGUAGCGAACAGGAUUAGAUACCCUGGUAGGAUAGCG
rnacentral:rRNA from 1 species